AUGUCCAUGAAGACAGACACGCAGACAAAAAUCCCCAUGGAAAAUGUUCUUCAAGAGCCAGGAAUGCCAGGAGAGGCCAAGAGGAAACCACUCCCAGUAGCAGAACAGUCAAAGGCAUGGAGCAGAGCCAGGAUUUUAAUGUGGGUUUGGGGCCAACAAGUCACACCAGAUGGCCUGGGAUUUUCCUCGGUUUCAGAGCACCACCUCCGUGCCUUCUGCCUGUACACAGGGUGGGACCAGUCUUCAGAGCCCCAUCUCCUGUCUCCGGAACUGCUGCUACACAGGGAUGCUCACACUCAAAGUUACUGGAGCCAGUGUCCCCCUUGGAGGUGUGCCUGUGAGCAAAGCUACCCCUUCUUUGAAGAGGGUCGGGAAGGAGCUGCCUCUCCGUUUUAAUGACCAG
rnacentral:lncRNA from 1 species